rnacentral:rRNA from 1 species
AUUGAACGCUGGCGGCAGGCCUAACACAUGCAAGUCGAGCGAGCGGCGGACGGGUGAGUAAUGUAUGGGGACUUCCCGUUAGAGGGGGGUAAAUCCUGGGAACGGUAGCUAAUACCGCAUACUAUAGGAUAACACAUCGGGGAUUAGCGAGUAGGUGAGGUAAUGGCUCACCUAGGCGACGAUCCCUAGCUGGUCUGAGAGGAUGAUCAGCCACACUGGGACUGAGAAACGGCCCAGACUCCUACGGAGGCAGCAGUGGGGAAGAUUGCACAAUGGGCGCAAGCCUGAUGCAGCCAUGCCGCGUGUAUGAAGAAGGCCCUAGGGUUGUAAAGUACUUUCAGUCGGGAGGCGUUACCGACAGAAGAAGCACCGGCUAACUCCGUGCCAGCAGCCGCGGUAAUUC